rnacentral:rRNA from 1 species
GUCCACGCCCUAAACGAUGUCAACUAGUUGUUGGGGAUUCAUUUCUUCAGUAACGUAGCUAACGCGUGAAGUUGACCGCCUGGGGAGUACGGUCGCAAGAUUAAAACUCAAAAGGAAUUGACGGGGACCCGCACAAGCGGUGGAUGAUGUGGAUUAAUUCGAUGCAACGCGAAAACCUUACCUACCCUUGACAUGCCACUAACGAAGUAGAGAUACAUCAGGUGCCCGAAAGGGAAAGUGGACACAGGUGCUGCAUGGCUGUCGU